rnacentral:rRNA from 1 species
GGCGGCAGGCCUAACACAUGCAAGUCGAGCGGCAGCGGGAAAGUAGCUUGCUACUUUUGCCGGCGAGCGGCGGACGGGUGAGUAAUGCCUGGGGAUCUGCCCAGUCGAGGGGGAUAACAGUUGGAAACGACUGCUAAUACCGCAUACGCCCUACGGGGGAAAGGAGGGGACCUUCGGGCCUUUCGCGAUUGGAUGAACCCAGGUGGGAUUAGCUAGUUGGUGGGGUAAUGGCUCACCAAGGCGACAAUCCCUAGCUGGUCUGAGAGGAUGAUCAGCCACACUGGAACUGAGACACGGUCCAGACUCCUACGGGAGGCAGCAGUGGGGAAUAUUGCACAAUGGGGGAAACCCUGAUGCAGCCAUGCCGCGUGUGUGAGGAAGGCCUUCGGGUUGUAAAGCACUUUCA